UUUCACCUUUGACUCAUUUGGAGAAGAGAACAAAAAAUUAAUCCAUUUUUUCCUUAUGAUAAUUUAAUGUUUUUCUACAUUUCGGUUAAUCCUUUUUUGUUUUAUAUUCUCCAUUUAAAUAUUCAUGUGGCUUCUGUUAAUUAUCGCUGGUUAAUUAGUUAACCUGCUUUUCUCUUUCACCGAGUUUUUGGAUUACCAAUGAAAGAAUAGAUCAAAUAACUGAAAAGGUCUUCAUGGUGUUUUUUUUUCUUUCUUCUUCUUCUUCUUUUUCGUCUCAGUGUAAUCAAUGAGUUGAUUUUGUGUCGAGAUUUGAGAUUGUAAAAGGUAAAGAAAAGUAUUCUGGAUAAACAAUCAAAGGUUUCAAAUUGUGUGGAAUUGGAUAUUAUAUGGUUAUCAUCAUGGAAACAUAUAUAUAUAUAAGGAACAUUCAAAGAACUUGGAUUUUCAUGAUUAAAAGGAGAAGAGAUUUUUGUUCAAAUUAAGGAAAAGAAAAAGAUGAGAACAGAGAAAUAAGGAGAGAGAGAAAAGGAAGAAGAUGUUGAAAAAUUUAUCAUCAAUCAUCUUGUUGGUGUUUCGUUUGUUACUUACCUUGUUUUAUUAUCACCAUACAUGAAUCAUUAAUGGUCUUUAAUUGAAACAAUACAACCAUCACAAUUUAUGAAUCUUGUAGUAGUCAAAAUAUCAUCACUGAAAACACUGGGUAUCAAUGAAAAUGCGGACAUUUUCCUUCUUCCAAUUUGAUUUCCACACUUACACACACACUUACACUUACACUCUCACACACAUUCACUCUCAUCUUUUUCUCUCUCACUCUCUUUCUUCAUUUAUCACUCUUUCUCUCCAUCUCUGUCUAUUCUUUCCUUCUCACCCACAACCUUAGAUACCAUAUACUCACUUGAUCAAUACUAUUGAUCAACAAAACCAAAAUUUCAACUCUCUUUCUCCAUCUCUUUCUUUUCUCUCUGUCUUCUUUUCCUCCAUGUACUCUGUGCCUUACCUUUCGCAUUCUCCCCUCUUUUCAUUACUCACACACACUUAACAAUGAAACGCAUGAUCCAUAGUAUUCAUCUUCAUCACCAACCUAAUCAUCAUCACAACAGUCAUGUUACUCCAACGCAACUCCAUGAAGGAACCAGAAAAAAUAGAAAGAGAAACCCGGAGGGAAAAUAACUACCAAAAGCAAGAGUUUCAUGAAAAGACAGACGAAUAGACAGACAAAAUAGUUUCCUGUGGCUAAGCAACAAAAAGAUUCUCUUUUCCUUUUCUCUCUCUCUCUCUUAUUUAUUGUAUACAUUAUUUCUUGACUCAUCAAUAGGUUGAACUUCCUCUUCCCAACGUUCAUGAAUUUGUGAACAGAAUCCUCGACGUAUACGAAGUGAAAACUUGAAUCAAAUGAAGAAAAGGAAAAGGAUGGAACGGAAACAAAUGAAGGUGUUUAAACUUCCAUUCUGGAACAACAAUUAUUGCUCAUAAAUUGACCAUGGAAGAUCCGAUUAUCUCUUCAUAAUUAAGAUAUUUAACCUUAUUCAUGAAUACGAAGGAAAAAUCAGUGAACAAGCAGAAAGAGAAAGAGAGGGAAACAACAAAAAACUACAGAGAUUCCAAAGCUAUCAAGUGAUUGAAAGAGAGAAAGAGAUUAUUAUUACUUCAAUUUGCCUCGAGAAUUGGAAUUGAUUUGAACUUUUUUUCUUCCUUUUAUCUUCAUUAUUCAUUGGAAUAUCAAUCAAAGUUACGUCGAAGAAAAAAACAAAACAAAAAUAAGAGCGAAAAU